UUAGCCAAGCAAGGGAAGUUUGCAACCCCCUCAGCCCUCGUUUUUAAUUUUGUUUGCGAGUGUACAAUUAUGUUCACCUCGGGGACUGAAAUGCCCCAUAAUUAAAUUCGCAAUGAUUGUUCAUCCGCUAAGAAAAGUCCACCAAAACUUAAAACCUCAACAUCAAUAUGAAAUCAACAUACAAGUAGAAUAACCCUAACCCACCUUAUGGUGGCCGAGUGGGCUUGCAGUACGAGGCAGAGGGAGACUCCUCCACCGUCUCCCUACCAUGGAACACAGGCACAGGUGUCCAUCCAGGAGACCAUCUACCAGUUCCUGGGGGGCUGAUAGGGACGCAGACACCUGAUAGGGACGCAGACACAGACACCUGAACCGACCGACCUCUUCAGGGCAACGUUUUGCAUUGAGUGACCCUGGCAGCCAAUCAAAGGCGGAAAGAAGGACAGAAUGCCACAUUUAAAAUGUAUUAUAUACUGUAUUUCUUUGUCGUCAAAAUUUGCAAAAAUUAGUCUAGCGCUUUUGGAAUUUCUGAUGCUCCCAGAAUGUCUAGCUUUCAUUUCAAUGACUGUUAGCAAGCUGGACAAAAGUGAAGAGACUAUAAAUGAAGGUCCAAUAUAAUUUCUACAAACUUUUGAUUUGGUUUUAGUAAUUUCAAUGUCGAUAGACAUCGUUUUGCUGCGACAAAAAAAACAAAAAAAAAAAACAGAUUGUAUAGGCUCUCGGGCCUUGAGUUUGACAAUUGUCAUUCAACCGGUUUAAAAAAGCUGUAAAAUAUGUUAUACAGUGGUUGCACUUUAUAAACUGGUGUACUUUCAUGGUAAAUUACUACAUAGGGAUACUAGCUAAUGUUGACUUUAAAAACCUAUUCCAUACUUAAAUACCUUUUUUCAAUAUUGCCUGACAGUUUAUGAUAAGCAGACCGGAGAUAAAGUCACUCUGAGAUGUCUUGGAUCAUCCUUUAAAUCAGUGUUUCAUCGACCACCGGGAAAAAAACAGACUGGAACAAGAUCUGUAUUGGAAGGUCUCCUCUUUGGGAGCGACGACUGAAUGAAACAGCAAAAACUGUUUUACCAAUGAUAUGAUGCAACUUAUGCCAGUUUGACAAUUAGCAGUACUCAUUUUUAACGUUGGUACUAAAGCUAAUGAAUAAUGUUGUAAUAUCACAUGUAUAUAAUAACAUGGCCUAACAACGUGUCUGUAUACAGAGAACAGAUAUUGA